rnacentral:rRNA from 1 species
GUGGGGAAUAUUGGACAAUGGGCGCAAGACUGAUCCAGCAAUUCCGCGUGAGCGAAGAAGGCCUUCGGGUUGUAAAGCUCUUUCGGCGGGGACGAUAAUGACGGUACCCGCAGAAGAAGCCCCGGCUAACUCCGUGCCAGCAGCCGCGGUAAUACGGAGGGGGCUAGCGUUGUUCGGAAUCACUGGGCGUAAAGCGCACGUAGGCGGCUACUCCAGUCAGAGGUGAAAGCCCGGGGCUCAACUCCGGAAUUGCCUUUGAAACUAGGUAGCUUGAACGUCGGAGAGGUAAGUGGAAUUCCGAGUGUAGAGGUGAAAUUCGUAGAUAUUCGGAAGAACACCAGUGGCGAAGGCGACUUACUGGACGACUGUUGACGCUGAGGUGCGAAAGCGUGGGGAGCGAACGGGAUUAGAAACCCCAGUAGUCC